rnacentral:rRNA from 1 species
UACGUAGGGGGCUAGCGUUGUCCGGAAUUACUGGGCGUAAAGGGCGCGUAGGCGGCCUGUUAAGUCGAACGUGAAAUCCCCGGGCUCAACCCGGGAACUGCGUCCGAUACUGGCAGGCUUGAAUCCGGGAGAGGGAUGUGGAAUUCCAGGUGUAGCGGUGAAAUGCGUAGAUAUCUGGAGGAACACCGGUGGCGAAGGCGGCAUCCUGGACCGGCAUUGACGCUGAGGCGCGAAAGCCAGGGGAGCAAACGGG